UUGACCUCGGAUCAGGUAGGGAUACCCGCUGAACUUAAGCAUAUCAAUAACGAGGGGAA
rnacentral:rRNA from 1 species